rnacentral:misc_RNA from 1 species
ACACGUAUACCAGUGUUUCUAUUUCUUUUUAAUUGGCACGUUAUAUCCGGCAUACAGAAAUUUUGGCGAACGGACAAUUGUUGCAGCAAUCUGACAAUCUGUGACGAGUCAAGAAAUUUACUUGCACCUUUAUCAUUGAAUAAAUCACCUAAACAUGGAAAAAUCAGCAUUAGCUCAAGAAAAGGUAUGGUUUGACAAGCCAUCCUAUGACAAGGCGGAACGACUAUAUUUUGAGAAAAUGGCUAAGGUGGUGUCCCAUAAAAUUAUGGAAAGCUGCUCGCUUAAAUCUGAAGUUUCUUUAACUAACAAUUGUCAAGAUAUCCUGAAUAGUAAUUCUGUAUCUAAGUCAAAGUCUAAGAAAUUUAAAGAUAAUCAAAUGUUAAUUUCUGAUAAUAUUUCAAAUGACAUAACAAGUUGCAAGCAUCAGAAAAAAAUGUCAAAUACAAAUAAAGAAGAAGAUGAGUACAUUAUGCCUAAAAAAGAAAAUAUAGAAGAAAAGCAAAAGACUGAAAACAUAAAAAAUGAUAUGAAAAGAAAAGAGACUAGUCCUUCAAAUGAUGUAUCUAAAAAAUACAAUACAAAAGAAGUGAAGGAAGAGAAGAAUAAAGCUGAUACAAGACAUAGAAGUAAAGGAAAAGCAAAGAAAGAUACUAAGGAAAUGAAAGAAAAUGUUGCAUCAUUAACAAGGAAUAAGCAACAAUUACCUACUCAGGGAAAUCAACAAACCACUAGUCCAAUUCUAUCUGCUGGUGGAAGCUUAGCCAAUGAAGUGGCCAAGGCUCGUCAACAUAUUAAACAGUCUUUACAGUGUAUGGAUGACAUUGCAGCUGUUGCUGGUCUCCCAACACCAAAUGAUAACAAGAAAGAUACAUUUGAUCCUAGCUUUAUCCAAUCAUUGAAAAAUACUAUCGACAAAUUGGAGGAACGUGUCAAAGAUCUUGAAGAUAAGGUUGCACUCCUAUCUACUCCUUCAGUCAUAGCAGUUUGCCCUGCAAAACCUGAACCAGUUUCAAAAGAAUCGCAAGAAAAAGCUGACGAUGACGAGGAUGUUGAUCUCUUUGGUUCAGAUUCAGAGGGAGAAGAUGCAGAAGCUGCAAAAAUUAGGGAAGAAAGAUUGGCUGCAUAUGCCGCGAAGAAGUCCAAAAGUAAAACCAGCAUUGAUCGCGAAGUCGAACAUAAUAUUAGACGUGAAACCGUGGGACGAUGAGACAGAUAUGAAAGCUAUGGAAACUGAAGUACGAAAAAUUGAAACCGAUGGUCUCCUAUGGGGAGCGGCAAAACUUGUUCCCCUUGCUUUUGGAAUACACAAACUUCAAAUCUCGUGUGUCGUGGAAGACGACAAAGUUUCAGUAGAUUGGCUCACAG